UGGAGUCAAUUCAAAGAUGGCCAGAGCCAGAGCAACAGCACCUUGAAUCCACCGAGGAGUCACUGCAGCAAAUGACCAAAGCACUGAGUCCCACAAGGAGCCAGCUCAGUUGAACAAGGGAGUGACUCCAUCUCAUCACUGGGUCAAGGUAAAGGGAAGAAGACACAGAGCUAUGUGCUUCAAGACACAAG